AGAGGCACUCGGAAUCUCGUUUCAAACGCUUCCCGACGGCGGGAGCCACAGAGCAGUUUUCAUCUGCCUGAGUCCGCCGCCGUCCAACAGCCGGCGAAGGGAGGGAAGGGCCCGCCUGCCCGGGGCUGUGCCUUCGCCUUCCCGGCGCUUGCGCGCUGCGUCUGCCGCCGCCGCCGCUCUCGAGAGGUCGCAGCAGGCGGCGUGCGAAGGGAGAGCUGGCGCCGCCCGCAACUUGGUGGCGGCUGCUGCCCGCUGCCUAUUUUAGUCAAAACCUCCACCCCGGGGGCUCGCGCGUGCUUCGCCUCGACUCCUUCGGCGAGAGAGGGCGCCCUCGGAAGAACUGCCGCCGGAGGAGACCCACGGCGGGACGGAGGCGCCUCAGAAGCGAGCGGCAGGUAAGGCUGCAGCCCCGACGGGAAAAGUUGGGCGACGCGGCGGCAAGCGCGCGAAACGGGAGGCGGGACGCUGCAGGGGCCGCUCUGGCGGCGGAGUUACUGUUACUCGCAAGUCCGCCGACUAACCAGCUGCGAGAGGCUCCCGCGAGGGGUUUUCUCGGCAGCCUGGUGGCCCUUCGGGCUCGCCUCCCCUUGCUCAGGAGAAAGUUUCCUCGGGAGCCGGGCGCCCCUCUCGCCCCUCUCGUUCGAAGAACGCCAGGAAAUCCAGGCCGUCUUUCUGGAGGGGCGGCAGAAAUUCACUUUGCGCGUGCUCAGAGACGCAGCUCUAAGACUGAGUCCGUUUCCCGCGCUUCCUUAGUAGACCGCAAGGCAGCUGCGCAUAGCAGUCCCUUCUUUCCCAGACCUGGAUAAGCUUAGCAAGGUCACCUACCUGCCUAGUCUGUGCCCUAGAGACAUAGUAACUGGAGUGUUGGAAGGGACCCCAAGAGGCAUCUAGUCCAACUCCCUGCAAUGCAGGAAUCUUUUGCCCAAUGUGGGGCUGGAACCUACAACCCCGAGAUUUUAAAUGUCUCAUGCUCUACCGACUGAGCUAUCUCAGGGGACAAUUUCAUAUGCUGCCAGAGGUGAGCUCAAAGUGUGACAAGUGCAAAAGAAUACAGUGGUACCUCGGGUUACAUAUGCUUCAGGUUACAUACGCUUCAGGUUACAGACUCCACUAACCCAGAAAUAGUACCUCGGGUUAAGAACUUUGCUUCAGGAUGAGAACAGAAAUCGGGCUCCGGCAGCCGGAGGCCCCAUUAGCUAAAGUGGUGCUUCAGGUUAAGUACAGUUUCAGGUUAAGAAUGGACCUCUGGAACGAAUUAAGUACUUAACGCGAGGCACCACUGUAUAUUGGUUCCCUCAGUACUCAAUCACACACACACCCUCUCUGUGUGUGUGUGUGUGGCACUGGCACACACACACACACACACACACACACUCGGCUACAGUUUAAGAGUUGGAGUGUAGAGCCCCUUGCUUCCUUUCCUUGAGAGAGGCAGUCUUCACAUGCUGAAUUGUUCCUGCUUAUUACUCCUGUCGCACUUGACUGCUUGAAUGAGUCCUGAUGCUUGAAAUUCAGGGGAAGCCCUAAGCUUUUCUGAGGCCUGGCUCCAUUUAAGCUGAGCACCUGUUGUUGUCCCCAGCCAGGGCCUUCCUGCCUUCUGGUGCACUUGUGUGCAAAGCUCUGUCACAGCCUGGAAUGUCAAGGAACAUUUCAGCAGAGACACCCCCAAGUGGUGCUUAUCUCUUUACAAUGGUCCUUUGUGAGGAGAGCCUGCUGUAAUUUGGCAGUCAGGCUAUAUGGGCUUAUCUGCCACCCCUGUUUCCUUGGAUGCCUUCAGUCGCUUACUGAGGAGAUGACUCCUGCUGUUGCUCCUUGCUUUGAUCCUUUUCAUUUCAAAUAUAUUCUUUAAUAAGUAUCUGCUCACAGGUAUAUGAAAGGCAGUGUACUUUAUAUUUGAAGUCCAGCAAAUAUAGGAUGCAAAAUAAAUGCAAACUGAAUUAAUUUAUAUAAAUAGAUGCAGUCACGAUAUACUUGAAAUAACCCUGCCAAAUGUUUAUUAUGAUUUACAAGAGCAUACUGAAAGCCUGCAAAACAGCAUUAACAAUAAAAGGUGUUUUCAUUUUGAGUCAAGAGUUUGGCUACUGUCUUUUUUCUUUAAGAAUGAGUGGAAUUAAUGCAUUGCUUUGUCUGAUUACAGGUCACCAGCUAUUUAUAAGGACACUUGUUCUGAAGCAGCACAAAGCCAGG